UGGGGACGUUUUCAGGCCGUUUCGGUGCCGUUUUGGGAGCGCCGUGCGCUGCGUCGGGGUCGGUGGGGGCCGCUCGGGCCCAUCCCGGGGCGGUUCCGCGAAACAAACGCGGGGCGGCACCGCACGGAGCUGUCCCGGUGAGCGCUGCCCGCACGGCGAUCGGUGCCGGACCAGGCGGGCGCCGAGCGGCGCAGUUCGGCAGCGCAGCGCCACCACGCGGCGGCGCCCCGCAGUGUUUGGAGGAGCGCCAGGCGUGAUCUCGCGAGAUCCCCGCGUUGCCAUGGGAACGGGCGGCACGUCCAAGAUGGCGGCUCCCGGAGCAGCUCUGGGCGCCGGGCGCGGACCCGAACCCGCCGUUCUGGUGCCCGUUCCCGGCCCCACCGCUCACGCCGCGGCCUCCAGGAGCCCCGCCGUGCAGGCCGGGCCGCGGAGAGGCGGCCGUCGGAACCGAAGAGAGAGGAUGGACUCGUGCCAGCCGUGCUAAGGGACCCGUUGACGGCGAAAGGUGGGAGGUGGCUCCUGGAAACGACGGCCUGAAACUCACGUUGCGACGAGCCCGAUAGCUGUUGGAGGUAAAGGCUGUCCCCUGAAGAACCGAAAACCCUGGUAGCUGGUUGCAAGCCCGUUGAAGAGCGAGGAAGAGGAGUGAAUAGCGGGGAAAGAUGGGCCUUAGGAGCACCCACUGGUACCUGGGGACUCUCGCAGUAACCAUAUUUUGUAUCGCGGCCCAACCCCACCCGCAUCAGCCUUCCCAGUGGAUGCUAAUCAGGCCCAGGGAUCGGCAAACCCUUCAGACUGUCACUACGGCAGAGCCUCCGAGUUUUAGCGUGACGGUCGGUACCCUGUUUGGCUAUCCUUCAAAUGGGACGGCACCGGAACUAAAGGACAACAAAGACUGCUCGUUAGGGCCCAGUUCCGUGUGGGGAACGUACUGGUGCCCUGCUUCAAACCCGGGAAAGAGUUAUUGUAAUUAUCCGGGAUAUUGGUUUUGUGGAUAUUGGGGGUGUGAGACCAUCGUAACGAGUGACAGAUGGAAACCGGAAAGGGCCGACGAAUUUUUAAGCGUUACAUGGGGACCAGAUGGAUGUAGACCCCCGCAGCUAGCACGGAACGGGGAAAUGCUUGUCAUGGGCAAUUGCACCUAUCUAAAACUCACGAUCCUGCAGCCGGCUGAUGCGGGUUGGGCCGUGGGAAGAAGGUGGUCGGUGUUCGCACACUGUGGUUUCACGGAUCCAGGAGUGGUGGUACAAAUUAUUAGGCUCGCGCCACAAAUACCUCAAGAAGUCGGGCCAAACAAAGUGAUAUGAAAACUCCAGGGGUACCUGAGACAACGCGGCCCACGGUAACCGCGGGGAUGCUGACUCUUAACGGGACGGUGAGACCGUCCCCUAUGAAUGCUACGGGAAAAUGGCCAGACAGUAUUUGAAAGGGACACCUGGAAGGUCAUCAAUUCUAGUUUCCAGGCGCUGAAUCGGACUCAUCCCAAUAUAACCAAGGUUGUGUGUAAGCAUAAAGCCUCCUUAUUAUGAGGCAACGGGGGAUCCGGAAAGCCCGACGUAUUCGAAUGAGAGUAAUCCUUCUCAAUGUAGUUGGGGACAGGAGGUGGGAAUAACGCUAACACAGGGGAAGGGUAAAUGGGUGGGGACUGUCCCGGAAGGGAAAAAGGAUUCAUGCAACCCUGUGGAAAGGAACUCAUAUCCACACAAAUCGUUAAUCCCCACCAAUAAUACCAGAUGGGUGUGUUCGUCGUUAGGCGUUACUCCUUGCUUGUCUUUAAAACUGUUUAAUAAAUCCCAUGAUUUCUGUGUGCAGGUCGUCAUUAUACCAAGGAUUCUAUACCACACGGUGGCCGGGUAUCCUUUGGCUAAAAGGGAGCCUAUCACAGCUGGCACCGUGGCAGCUUUAAUGAUGUUGGGAUCUGCAGGGGCUGGUACAGGGAUGGCUUCGUUGGUCAGGCAGAGCGGGGAACUCGCCGCUCUGCGUAUUGCUGUGGAUGAGGACUUGGCCAAGACUGAACGAUCUAUUUCAGCUGUGGAAAAAUCGCUGAGAUCCCUCUCGGAGGUGGUUCUCCAAAAUGGAAAGGGAUGGGGCCUAGUUUUCCUGCGACAAGGAGAGCUCUGUGCGGCCCUGCGGGAGGAAUGUUGAGUGUAUGCAGACCACAGCGGGGUGGUAAGGGACACAAGGACGAAAUCAUGAGAAGGACUGGAAAAAAGAGAGAAAAGGAGGCUCAUCAGAAGUGGGACGAAUCCUGGUUCCAUUAUUCACCUUGGCUCACUACGUUGUCGUCCACUGUAGCUGGAUCUCUGCUGCUGUUAAUUAUAGUAUUGACCUUCGGGCCGUGUAUAAUCGGGUGGUCGCGAUCAUGACGAAUCGAUUAGAAGCGGCUCAUUUGAUGUUAAUGCGUGCUCAGUAUGAGACUGUGCAAGGAGAUGAGGAUGAGGAGGUAAUUGUUUGUCUCGCUCCAAUUUACAGGAGGGAGAAGGGCUUCUUUUAAUAUACAUAUACCCGACGGCGACAUUAAGACACAACGGGUCAGAUGUGAGCCCGGCCAGUUUAUUGCAAAUCCACGUAGCUUAGGGAGGUGGGGAAGGGAAAGCAGGCGAU